UACGUAGGGUGCAAGCGUUGUCCGGAAUUAUUGGGCGUAAAGAGCUCGUAGGCGGUUAGUCGCGUCUGCUGUGAAAACUCGGGGCUUAACUCCGGGCCUGCAGUGGGUACGGGCUGACUAGAGUGCGGUAGGGGAGACUGGAAUUCCUGGUGUAGCGGUGAAAUGCGCAGAUAUCAGGAGGAACACCGGUGGCGAAGGCGGCUCUCGUCGGGACGGUACUGACGCUGAGACGCGAAAGCGUGGGGAGCGAACAGG
rnacentral:rRNA from 1 species